UAGGGAAUCUUCCACAAUGGACGAAAGUCUGACCGAGCAACGCCGCGUGAGUGAAGAAGGUUUUCGGAUCGUAAAACUCUGUUGUUAGAGAAGAACAAGGGUGAGAGUAACUGUUCACCCCUUGACGGUAUCUAACCAGAAAGCCACGGCUAACUACGUGCCAG
rnacentral:rRNA from 1 species